GGAUGUGAGGGCAAUCUGGCUGCAACAUCUGUCACCCCAUUGAUCACCAGGGUUGAUUCCGCUGAUCGGGGUGGCUGGCGGGUGUCCCCUUCCUCCCUCACCACUACAUGUGUGUCCCUCCAGAAGCUGCGUGCUAGGUUGAAGAGGACGGCCUUCCCCGAAUAGCGACUGACCAGUCUUCCUUUCCAGGAUAUACGAACAGCUGCACUCCCCUAUUAGAAACUCCAGACAAGCUCUUAAGGUCCAAACUGCCCCAACAUCAUGACCCAUCUUCCUCAGGUGUAGCAUAGGUAUGUUGUCCAUCCUCCCU
rnacentral:snRNA from 1 species